UUUGUGUCUUUUCCCUCCUUUUGAUUGCUGAUUAGUUUCACCUGCCCUCCAUUAGCCUUCCCUCAUCAGUCUCUUUUAGUCUGUGCUUUUCCCUCCCUCUUUUCUUUGUUGUGGUACCAUGUUUAUCAGGCUUUAGCUUUUCCUUGUGUUUAGUUCAGUUCAUUUUUGGAUCUUUGCUCUUGUGGAACGGCCUUUUUGGACUUCCUCCCCGGGUUUGACCGUGGCCUGCCUCAUCCUCAUAUGGACAUCACGCUGGAGGCCUGCUGGGGGACACAUGUGGUUGGCUGUGGACGAACUGGCGUGACAUGACUGUGAAGCAGCAGACUGUGGGCGGACGGCAGGAUGAUCGGCAGGCGACUGAUCCACUUCCACCAGAGGAAAGUCAAAGUCAAGUCAUUAGAGAACCACGGAUGCUGAUACCUCCCAUUCAUCCACACAAAGGAGAGGGGUGGAGCCGGCUGAGUGCACAACACCUGAGCAGGGCAGCAGGCGAGAGACUGGAAGCGCUGUUCUGAGAGUGGCUCAGUCCCCUUUGAGACGAUAGCAGAGCGAAGGAGAGCACAGCACAAAGUGGUGUCUGCGUGUGGUCGAGGAGGGCCGGACCACGGUACACUUACAGUACAGCACACAAGUCACAGGUGAGCUGAAAGGCUGCAGGCCAGCUCAGGUCGAGUGCUAGUUAGGAAGGUGGUGAGUCGU